AUGCCUCCCUAUUCACCUCAAUCAAAUGGAGUGGCCGAGAGGAAAAACCGCACAUUGACUGACUUGGUGAAUGCCAUGUUAGACACUGCUGGUUUAUCUAAGGUGUUCAAAAAGAAGCUAAAGCCUGAUGGUACUAUUGAUAAGUACAAGGCGCGGCUAGUGGCCAAGGGCUACACUCAGAAAGAAGGCGGAGAUUACUUUGACACCUAUUCACCCGUUGCUAGAAUGACCACCAUUCGAGUGUUACUUUCCUUGGCUGCCUCUUAUGGUCUUAUCAUUCAUCAAAUGGAUGUAAAGACAGCUUUUCUCAAUGGAGAGUUGGAAGAGGAGAUCUAUAUGGAUCAGCCUGACGGGUUUGUGGUAAAGGGUGAAGAGAGAAAGGUGUGCAAGUUGUUAAAAUCUUUGUAUGGUCUGAAACAGGCACCUAAGCAAUGGCAUGAGAAGUUUGAAAGAACUUUGACUUCUGCAGGAUUUGUCAUUAACGAGGCUGAUAGGUGUCUUUACUAUCGCCAUGGUGGGGGCAAUAGUGUCAUAUUAUGUUUGUAUGUGGACGACAUACUGAUCUUUGGUACAAACAUUAAUGCAAUUAAUGAGGUCAAGUCUUUUCUAUCAAAAAUUUUUGACAUGAAAGAUCUGGGAGAAGCCGAUGUAAUUCUAAACAUCAAACUUAUUAAGGAUGAGAGUGGGAUUACAUUAACGCAAUCUCACUAUGUUGAGAAGGUCUUGAACCGAUUCGGUUUUAUGGAUAGCAAGCCUUCUCCAACACCUUAUGAUCCCAGCGUGACACUCAGAAAGAACAAGAAAGAAACGAGAGAUCAAUUAAGAUACUCUCAAAUUAUCGGUUCACUAAUGUACUUAGCUAGCGCUACAAGACCAGAUAUCUCUUUUGCUGUGAGCAAACUGAGUAGGUUCAUGUCCAACCCGGGUGAUGAUCAUUGGUAUGCACUAGAAAGGGUCUUGCGCUAUCUGAGAGGUACUAUGAGUUAUGGAAUUACUUAUUCAGGGCAUCCUGCUGUGCUAGAAGGAUAUAGUGAUUCAAAUUGGAUCUCCGAUGUUGAUGUACUUUACGCAACAAGUGGGUAUGUAUUUACUCAUGGUGGUGGCGCAGUGUCAUGGAGGUCUUGUAAGCAAACCAUAUUGACGAGGUCAACUAUGGAAGCAGAAUUAACUGCUUUGGACAUAGCUACUGUUGAAGCAGAAUGGCUGCGUGAGCUCUUGAUGGACUUGCCGGUUGUUGAAAAACCUGUACCAGGUAUUCUUAUGAAUUGUGAUAACCAAACGGUUAUCGCUAAAGUGAACAAUUCUAAAGAUAAUGCAAAAUCAUCAAGACACGUGAAAAGACGUUUGAGGUCUGUCAGGAAGUUGAGAAACUCCGGAGUAAUAACUGUUACGUAUAUACAAACAGACAAAAACCUGGCAGAUCCCUUUACAAAGGGACUAUCACGAAAUGUGAUAGAUAUUGCAUCGAGGGAGAUGGGUAUGAGACCCAUAAGCAGUCUUGAAAAACACACCUAUAUGAGUUCUGACUAUAAACGUCGCAGUCUAUGA
rnacentral:rRNA from 1 species